UCAGCCGGCCGGGCGGCCGCUCUGCCCUCGGGCAGGGAGGAAAGUCCGGGCUCCAUGGAGAGACGGUGCCGGAUAACAUCCGGCGGGGGCGACCCCAGGGACAGUGCCACAGAGAGGAGACCGCCGGGCGGGCCGCGAGGCCCGCGCCGGUCAGGGUGAAAGGGUGCGGUAAGAGCGCACCGCGGACGCGGCAACGCGGACGGCACGGCAAACCCCACCGGGAGCAAGACCGAAUAGGGGCGACACGGGCGGGCCGACGGCCCGCCCAGGCCUCUCCCCAGGCCCGUCGCCCGGGUUGGUUGCUCGAGGCGGCCGGCAACGGCCGUCCCAGAGGAAUGGCCGCCACGUCCGGGGGACCCGCGAGGGUCCGCCGGGCCCUACAGAACCCGGCUUACAGGCCGGCUGAUCCC
rfam:Methylobacterium sp. 4-46, complete genome.